AACGAACGCUGGCGGCAGGCUCAACACAUGCAAGUCGAGCGCCCCGCAAGGGGAGCGGCAGACGGGUGAGUAACGCGUGGGAAUCUACCCAUCUCUACGGAAUAACGCAUGGAAACGUGUGCUAAUACCGUAUACGUCCUUCGGGAGAAAGAUUUAUCGGAGAUGGAUGAGCCCGCGUUGGAUUAGCUAGUUGGUGGGGUAAAGGCCUACCAAGGCGACGAUCCAUAGCUGGUCUGAGAGGAUGAUCAGCCACACUGGGACUGAGACACGGCCCAGACUCCUACGCGAGGCAGCAGUGGGGAAUAUUGGACAAUGGGCGCGAGCCUGCUCCAGCCAUGCCGCGUCAGUAAUGAAGGCCCUAGGGUUGUAAAGCUCUUUCACCGGUGAAGAUAAUGACGGUAACCGGAGAAGAAGCCCCGGCUAACUUCGUGCCAGCCGCCGCCGUAACAC
rnacentral:rRNA from 1 species